CCUACGGGAGGCAGCAGUGAGGAAUAUUGGUCAAUGGGCGGAAGCCUGAACCAGCCAAGUAGCGUGCAGGAUGACGGCCCUACGGGUUGUAAACUGCUUUUAUACGGGAAUAACGCGCCUUACGUGUAGGGCUUUGCAUGUACCGUAUGAAUAAGGACCGGCUAAUUCCGUGCCAGCCGCCGCGGUAAUACGGAAGGUCCGGGCGUUAUCCGGAUUUAUUGGGUUUAAAGGGGACGUAGGCCGGAUGUCAAGCGUGCUGUGAAAUGGCCGGGCUCAACCCGGGCCUUGCAGCGCGAACUGGCGUGCUGGAGUCCGCGGAAAGCAGGCGGAAUUCGUCGUGUAGCGGUGAAAUGCUUAGAUAUGACGAAGAACCCCGAUUGCGAAGGCAGCUUGCUGCAGCGGAACUGACGCUGAUGCUCGAAAGCGCGGGUAGCGAACAGGAUUAGAUACCCUUGUAGUC
rnacentral:rRNA from 1 species